rnacentral:lncRNA from 1 species
AAGGACAUGGCUGACAUUGUUAUUCCUGUUUUACAAAUGAGGGAAUUGAGGCAGAUAGAAAUUUAGUGAAUUACAUAGUCACAUAUCUAAAUAAGUUUCUGAAGCUGAAUUUAAAUGCAGAUUUUCUUGACUUCAAGUCCUGGACUCUAUCCAUAUAAAAUAAUAAACUUGGUUGACACCUUUGUGCUGUCUCUGGGAGGAAUGGACAAACAAAACUAAGUUGUGGACUGGUAACAUUUAGUGCUUAUUUGCAAGACCAUCUUCCAGUGUAUCUGAGUCUAAAUCUGAAGUUAAUUUGUUUUUCUUGUGACCAGUAUUUAAGGGAUCUAUCUACACUGCAGUUCAGUCAUGCUGUGAAUUUUAGAUUUUCUCCAUUUGGCUUAGUCUAGCACCCAGGAAUGUAUACACCCACACCACACUGGCAUGUGCUAGCAAGUGACAAAUCAGAAACAACUGACUGUCCCCUGGGCUGUCCUAAGAUAAGCUUGCGGCACCAUUGGCACAUGUGAGACACAGGAAGUGAUGUAGAGAACUGCCUUUGGAGUUCAAGUCACUUCCUGUGUGGACUGCCUGGGUGCCAGUUGACCCCGGAACUCGAGUCUGGAGGAGCUCCUCAGAUGGCUUCCUUGAGACUAUCACAUGAGAAGAAAGGGACAACUGAAAGAGGACACAAAGAAGACAAUGGAAAAGGAAAUGAAAAAGAAGUUACAGGUAUAAGAAGAUCAUCAAGACCAGGAGGUCCAGAAUAUUCUCAUAGACCAGGAGAUCUGGAAGUGGUCCAGGAAAUGGUCCUAGAGACUAUGAAGAAUGGAAAUAUUCUCAGAGACCUCUUGUGUGGGAGGGGGCUAGGGAUAGAUGGGAAAGCAUAAAAUUCCUCAAUUUAGGGUUUUGAAUUCAACCGGGGAAUCUGAAGAUCUCUGAUUUGUUUGCCUUUUCCACCAAAUAAAGUCAGAUUUUGCUCA